GCGGGCGUGGCGGAACGGCAGACGCGGCAGACUCAAAAUCUGUUGUCCGAGAGGACGUGGGAGUUCAAGUCUCCCCGCCCGCACCA
rnacentral:tRNA from 1 species